UUCAGAUAACGAGAGACCGUACCCCAAACCGACACAGGUGGUCAGGUAGAGAAUACCAAGGCGCUUGAGAGAACUCUGGUGAAGGAACUAGGCAAAAUAGCACCGUAACUUCGGGAGAAGGUGCGCUGCUGACGGUGAAGGCCUUGCGCCGUAAGCUGUUGGCAGCCGAAGUAACCAGGCCGCUGCGACUGUUUAUUAAAAACACAGCACUCUGCAAACACGAAAGUGGACGUAUAGGGUGUGACGCCUGCCCGGUGCCGGAAGGUUAAUUGAUGGGGUCAGCCGCAAGGCGAAGCUCUUGAUCGAAGCCCCGGUAAACGGCGGCCGUAACUAUAACGGUCCUAAGGUAGCGAAAUUCCUUGUCGGGUAAGUUCCGACCUGCACGAAUGGCGUAACGAUGGCGGCGCUGUCUCCACCAGAGACUCAGUGAAAUCGAAAUCGCGGUGAAGAUGCCGUGUACCCGUGGCUAGACGGAAAGACCCCGUGAACCUUUACUGUAGCUUCACACUGGACUUUGACAUGAUCUGUGAAGGAUAGCUGGGAGGCUUUGAAGUGGUGACGCCAGUUGCCAUGGAGCCGUCCUUGAAAUACCAGCCUGGUCCUGUCGGGGUUCUAACGUCGACCUGUUAUCCAGGUUACGGACAGUGUGUGGUGGGCAGUUUGACUGGGGCGGUCUCCUCCCAAAGAGUAACGGAGGAGCACGAAGGUGCGCUAAUCACGGUCGGAAAUCGUGAGGUUAGUGUAAAGGCACAAGCGCGCUUGACUGCGAGACAGACAAGUCGAGCAGGUACGAAAGUAGGUCUUAGUGAUCCGGUGGUUCUGUAUGGAAGGGCCAUCGCUCAACGGAUAAAAGGUACUCCGGGGAUAACAGGCUGAUACCGCCCAAGAGUUCAUAUCGACGGCGGUGUUUGGCACCUCGAUGUCGGCUCAUCACAUCCUGGGGCUGAAGCCGGUCCCAAGGGUAUGGCUGUUCGCCAUUUAAAGUGGUACGCGAGCUGGGUUUAGAACGUCGUGAGACAGUUCGGUCCCUAUCUGCCAUGGGCGUUGGAGAUUUGAGAAGAGUUGCUCCUAGUACGAGAGGACCGGAGUGAACGAACCUCUGGUGUACCGGUUGUCACGCCAGUGGCAUUGCCGGGUAGCUAAGUUCGGACGGGAUAACCGCUGAAAGCAUCUAAGCGGGAAGCCUCCUUCAAGAUGAGAUCUCCCUGGAGCUUUAAGCUCCCUAAAGGGCCGUCGAAGACUACGACGUUGAUAGGCGAGGUGUGGAAGCGUUGUGAGACGUUGAGCUGACUCGUACUAAUUGCCCGUGCGGCUUGACUAA
rnacentral:rRNA from 1 species